rnacentral:rRNA from 1 species
UACGUAGGGAGCAAGCGUUGUCCGGAAUCAUUGGGCGUAAAGCGCGCGUAGGUGGCCUCAUAAGUCCGCUGUGAAAGUCAAAGGCUCAACCUUUGAAAGCCGGUGGAUACUGUGAGGCUAGAGUACGGAAGAGGCGAGUGGAAUUCCUGGUGUAGCGGUGGAAUGCGCAGAUAUCAGGAGGAACACCAAUAGCGAAGGCAGCUCGCUGGACGUUACUGACACUGAGGCGCGAAAGCGUGGGGAGCGAACAGG